rnacentral:rRNA from 1 species
AACGAACGCUGGCGGCAUGCCUAACACAUGCAAGUCGAACGAGACCUUCGGGUCUAGUGGCGCACGGGUGCGUAACGCGUGGGAAUCUGCCCUUGGGUUCGGAAUAACAGUUAGAAAUGACUGCUAAUACCGGAUGAUGACUUCGGUCCAAAGAUUUAUCGCCCAGGGAUGAGCCCGCGUCGGAUUAGCUAGUUGGUGAGGUAAAGGCUCACCAAGGCGACGAUCCGUAGCUGGUCUGAGAGGAUGAUCAGCCACACUGGGACUGAGACACGGCCCAGACUCCUACGGGAGGCAGCAGUGGGGAAUAUUGGACAAUGGGCGAAAGCCUGAUCCAGCAAUGCCGCGUGAGUGAUGAAGGCCUUAGGGUUGUAAAGCUCUUUUACCCGGGAUGAUAAUGACAGUACCGGGAGAAUAAGCCCCGGCUAACUCCGUGCCAGCAGCCGCCGUAACAC